rnacentral:rRNA from 1 species
GUGAGGAAUAUUGCGCAAUGGGCGAAAGCCUGACGCAGCGACGCCGCGUGGAGGAUGAAGGUCUUCGGAUUGUAAACUUCUGUUAAGUGGGAAGAAAGGGCUGUUUUUAAUAGAAGCAGUUAAUGACGGUACCAUUAAAGAAAGCACCGGCUAAACUCGUGCCAGCAGCCGCGGUAAUACGAGUGGUGCAAGCGUUAUUCGGAAUAAUUGGGCGUACAGGGUGUGUAGGCGGUAUGUUAAGUCUGUUGUUAAAGACUCCGGCCUAACCGGAGACAGGCAGCGGAAACUGGCGUACUAGAGGGUGGAAGAGAGAAGUGGAAUUCUCGGUGUAGCGGUAAAAUGCGUAGAUAUCGAGAGGAACACCGAUGGCGAAGGCAGCUUCUUGGUCCAUACCUGACGCUGAAACACGAAAGCGUGGGGAGCAAACAGGAUUAGAAACCCCGGUAGUCC